rnacentral:rRNA from 1 species
GAUGAACGCUGGCGGCGUGCCUAAUACAUGCAAGUCGAGCGAACGGACGAGAAGCUUGCUUUUCUGAUGUUAGCGGCGGACGGGUGAGUAACACGUGGAUAACCUACCUAUAAGACUGGGAUAACUUCGGGAAACCGGAGCUAAUACCGGAUAAUAUUUUGAACCGCAUGGUUCAAAAGUGAAAGACGGUCUUGCUGUCACUUAUAGAUGGAUCCGCGCUGCAUUAGCUAGUUGGUAAGGUAACGGCUUACCAAGGCAACGAUGCAUAGCCGACCUGAGAGGGUGAUCGGCCACACUGGAACUGAGACACGGUCCAGACUCCUACGGGAGGCAGCAGUAGGGAAUCUUCCGCAAUGGGCGAAAGCCUGACGGAGCAACGCCGCGUGAGUGAUGAAGGUCUUCGGAUCGUAAAACUCUGUUAUUAGGGAAGAACAUAUGUGUAAGUAACUGUGCACAUCUUGACGGUACCUAAGCAGAAAGCCAUGGCUAACUACGU